GGUAAAAUUGUUUAGCGGUUUUUUCACAAUUUACAAUUUUAGCUUCAAUUAAUUCUUGUUUUGCUAUUUUGUUAUUUUGAGUUAUUUAUUGUUUAUUUAUAACUGUUUUUCAACAUUUCUGUCUAUUGCUUGAUUUUCAUCCAGCUCAGUUAACAUAACCCUUUUCAUCCUGUUAAAGUAACCUUUAAGAAACUAUCAUUUACCAUUGGUUACCUUGUUUUUUUUCAUUUUAUCUGAAAACAUUUGAGAAUGCAUUUCAUUCUCUCUCAACCUUAAAUUAUCAUCAUUUUAACCGUUUAACUUUGUAACAUGAUAUGAAAGACUCAAAUUGAUUCUUGCAAUAAUAACUUGAAUCUUGUUGCAUCUUAACUCACCGUUAACCCAAGCUUCGCAGCCUUAACCUUUACCUAGCUGAGUAGUUUUCAUGUUUCCUUACAAAGUUUAGUAUUAUUAUUAUAAUUUUCAUUCUAAUUCUUAUUCUUAUCAUCAACAUUAUCACCGUCAUCAACUACAAUAACAACAGACAACAAAAACAUCAUCAUCAUGAGGUAGUAACUGGAUAUCAAUGUGAUUGUGAUCUGGGCAAAAACAAUGGUAAAGGAGAGGAAAGGAUAAAAAAGAUGAAUGUAAAGUUAACCAUGAUUGGAAACGUAUCCACGGAUCUUGUAAACACAUUCACUAAAUACAUUUCUCUACAUUCUAAUAUCAAAUGAUGCGAAGUAAUGAUUUUCUCCCUGUUUUCGGUUUACAUCAUCAUUUGCCAACAAUAGCCAUCUUAAUGAAUUGAAACGGACAAAAUUGCCCAUUGUUAAGUGAAAAUGCCGAAAGCAUUGGAUUUCAUUGGUCAAAGUUACCCCAUAAAUACAGUGUAUGAUGGACAAUGUUAUUUUUUCACAUGGAUGAUCGCUUUGAUGCAAAGGAAAAAGGUUGAAAUAAAAAAAGGCUUUAAGAACUGAAAUAACUGGAAGAAAAGCUGAUGUUAAAGGAAGGCAAAGAAAGAGAGGGAAAUAAGAGGAAAAAGCAACAACAGCAACCCAAACAACCACAUGAACAAGAGAGAAAAACCAAGGAAAAGAAACAAUUCUCCCCUCAAGCCACCGGAUAGCCAAGGAAUCUUCUUCUUUCCUCCAAUUUAUCUGGUCUUUUCAAUCCUGAUUCCACUCUAUUUCAUCAAUAAUUUUUCAUUCUCCAUUUUCUGACUUCUCAUCCUUUUCCCUUUUCUACUCCUCUUAUUUCAACUUCCAACAUCAUCAUCAUCACUAUCAUCACAGCAUUCAUUUUAACCUCUCCCUCCUACUAACUCAAUGAUAUUUUACACCUCGUACAUUGAAUUUCCUUAUUGUCUUUUACAGCUACAUAAGUCUCACAAGAAAGUUCAAUAGAUUUGUUAUAACUGGCCACUUGAGGCUCAUUGAUCUGAUGCAUACACAUACAUACAAAAAUAUCGCCUCUUCAUCCUCCUUCGCCUCCUCCAUUUCUCUCUCUUUCUCUUCUUUCUUUCUGCAUAUCAAGCGCAUAAAUUUUUUCUCACUUCUUACUCUUCGCCCUCUUAAUCUUCUCUCUUCAUCUCUCUUCAUCUUCUUUCCUCUUCUUAUAUUUUGUCUACACUUUAGAGUCAAAGUGGUGCUUCUCAUCUUUCCCAAUGUUCAACGAUAGAUUGCUUGUUAUCCCCAUAAGUCAAAUUGACCUUGUUGAUAUGCGAAUACGUGCUUCCUAAAAUCUUUUGGUCUAUUAAGGAGGAAAAGGCAGUGAAAAUAAAAAGAAGAGAAAAAAAGAGGAGGAAAAAUGAAGAAGAAUCAAGGAGCAGCAGAAAUUGAGCACACAGACUGUCUUAUUGUACACUCCAUGGUUAUUUCCCUUGUGAACACAUCGAUCAAGAACUGGAUCCACAAUCUUAACUUUCAUCCAUGAUUGCAUCUUCCAUGUCAAUCUAAUCAAGGGCAAUAAGAAAAAGAAAGCAAGACUCUCGCAUCCCAAAGAUGUCCAUCAUUUUUCGUUAUCGCCAUUUUCGGGGUGUUUUCCCUCGUAAGAAAGCAAAUAAUUUAAUGGUGGAAACAUUUACUUUUUUGUUGAUUGUAAACCAAUGUUGAGGUAAUUAGAUCUAACCAUGUUAAACCCUCCAAGCCAUAUUUGCCUUGAAGGAUGGAAAAAUGUGAACCAAGAUAAAAACUCAAUCGACAAUUAUUUAACUAACAACUUUCAACUUUAUUACAAAGCAAAGUAUCAUAAAAAACAACAAAAUCAUCAACAAAUUAUAGAUGUAAAAACUGAAUCCUCAGGAGAUACCAUUGAUGUAGGUGUUAAUGGCAAAGGAAUAGUCAUGGUUGUACCUGAAGCCAUGAUAAGCCAGGAGUAAAAAAACGAGUAAAAUUCACAAUGAUGCUUAUGGUUGCAACUUAACAAGACUAAGCAAUGGAACCUUGGUUAAAGACGAAAACAUGGAAAAGUAAAUCAUGUUUUAGAGCAAAAAAAGGUCUGGUUCAUGUUGAUAAUCAACAUGAUUAAAGUCUGGUACAAGAAAGAAGUCUUAAAGUUUCUGUGCCUCAUUGAAUUUACCACUCCCUGGGUGAUGGAGAAGAUGAAAAAGGAUAAUCUCUUCAUCAUCUUCAUCUCUUUACCUUACUUUCUCCUAAUUUUACAACAUUCACCAGGAAUGGAAAUGGCAACAAGAAGAAGAAAAAACUUUAUCCAUAAAAGUUUAAACAUUAUUACAUUAGUCUCAACUUGUUCAGGGAUGAAUCAAAGCUACAAUCAAAUUUUACCUCAUUGGAUAAUUAGAUAACACCAAUUGGAUAAUUUGUCAAGAUAAGUUCAAUCAACUCAACAAGAAACCUGUUAUUUCCACUACAAAGCUCAUUUUCUCACAAGGAUGAAGGAAUCAAUUUUUGGCUUGACCAACAUCUUGAACUUUUGCUGCUGCCUUCACACUAAACACGUUAUGUUAUUAUCAUUAAUAAUUGGAAUAACCUUUCCUUCAUCUUCACCAUCAGACCAAAAUACUAUCAUCUUGAAUGUGUUUACAAAGUAAAGGUGGCAAAUGGCUAAAGGAACCUCAAAAAAGGAACCGUAAAUCAGGCGAAAUUUAAAAUGUGAAUUUAUCCCAAAAAAAUUCAUUUUGAAAAUUAUACAAAUUGACUAUGAAAAUGCAAGUAUGCCAAGACGUAACCUUAAAGGAGGAAACCAAAUUGAAUUGAAUCGUGAUCACAUUGAACGCUGUUUAUUGUUCAUUUCAAGUUGAGGUCAAUGGUUAAAGAUGAAAGGUUGCUUAUUAAUUGAAAAAAUUUGAAUGUAAAACACACUUCAAAUUGAUAAUAUAAUGGAAUAUUUAAUAACAAUAAUAAUAACAUACUUAUAAAGAUUAUCAUUAGGAUGUUGGUGGAAAGUCAAAGGAGAGCAAAAAGUAAAUUUGGAUUCAAUUUGGGACAUUAAACGAUGAAAAUAGCAAAGAAAUUGUUCCUUACCUUAAUAACGCUGAAUAUCAUCAUCAUUGUGCUACUUUGAACGUUUUCUGGAUCUCAAUUUUUAAGUUUAAAGAUUAUUUCCUUCACCUUUCCAUUGGAAAUUUUCAUCUCUAUUCAAGUCAUAAUAGCCAUCAACCAUCAUCAUCAUCAACAACAACAACAGCAACUUCAACACCACCACCUAAACUAUUAACAAACAUUUGAUUAUAUUGAGCUUCUAAAGAUUAGGCGAUUCCUUUGUAAUUUAUUUUACCAUUUAAAAUGACCAUAAAUAUAUUUAUGGUCAUUCAACGUUUCUCUUAGCAAACACAAUCAGUUUUCACAAAGAAAAAGGUAAACACCUUCAAGUUUUUACCUUAUUUUUCAUCUACUAUUCAAAUGUUGAGCUUCCGUCUCUCAACAUUUACAUUCAUCAUAAUUAUCAUCACCUUAACAGUCCAUGAUAAUCAGCAUUAUUGUCUCUCACAAUUAUGUAACCUUUUUUACCCAGUUUUACCUAUUUCCCUCUCUCCCACAAUUGAACCAUCAUCUUAAUGAUAAUAUCUGUUUGAUACUCAUUUAAUGAUGAUUACUUUAAUUGUAUUACCAUUAUUACCAUCACAUGUUCAAAUAUAUCAAAUUGUGGUUAAUUUUGAUGUAGUAGGUGGUCGGUUAAUUGGUUAUUUAGUUGUUUAGUUAUUAGGCGUUUAUACUUUUGUUUUGGCCUCAAAAGCUCCAAACCAUUUGCUUUACAAUCAACCUACAAUCGUUGGUUCUUCUCAGUUGAUUUUACUUUCAUUUAAUUCAUCAUUUUUCAUCAACAUUUUCAAUUAAAUCAUGACAAUGAUGAUGGUUGAUGGUUAACGUUGUUUGUGUGUGUAAUUACAAUAUGUCACGGGUUAAGUCAAUCAAAGUGUAUAACCAAAUUAACCUGUUAUCCAUUCAGAUUGUAACCGUGUGAAUCCAUUUUAAAGCCAAAAAGAGUUUCACUUUUUUAUCUUUAAUCUAUUUCUCCUCGUCAGACCUAAAUAUUAGCAUUGAUUGAUAUAAAAAUUAUUUGAUCAACAAUCAUAUUUUUACCUCAUUUGAUUGAUAUCUGAAUGAAAAGCUGAUUGAUGAAUUUACGGGGAAAAAACAAGUAAACAAAAGCUGAUCAAGAGUUGGAUACAAGCGUACAAAGUAAUGACAGGCAGCCAAGAAAAAAGGAGAAACAUUAGCAUCAAAAUCAACAAAAGGAGUUUGAAACAUGAGAAGAAAGCAAAAAUAUUUUCCAAAUUAUCAACAAAUAUAUAUUUUUUGGUCAUUUGUUGAUGUCAAUGAAAUUGCUUUCAAUGUGGAUAUCAAUGGACAGUUUUUUAUUCCUGUCAACAUGAGUUUACCAAUGUUGAUUGUUGCCCAAGAUAAUAUUUCAUCUCAACAACAGCAACAAAGUGAAAUACACUUUUCUCCCUGAUUUGUCAACAAUUUAACAACAAUCAAAUGGAAAAGAAAUGGUCAGCAAAACAUUGAUUGGAAAUCAUAAAAUCAGCAUUUCUAUUGACUCUCUCGAUUUUCAAGUUUAUAAAUGAUGGCAAUUUUAAUCAUUGCUUUGCAGACAAUUUACUCUGAUUAAUUCAUGUCCAGCUUGACUUAAAAAUGUCUAUUGGAAAUGGCUUCACUCAAUAAUUUGGAGACUAAAUUGCAAGGAUAAAUUGAAGUUUCUAAUUAACCCAUGGACAAGCAAAUGGUGUAUCACAAUCGUAAACAGAAGCUGCAGUCAAAGGGUAAUGACUACAAAGAAGUCAAAUAUAAUUUAAGUUUGAACAAUCGAAACUGGACAUUUGCCAAUGGACACUUUGCCUGCUACAAAUGAUUCCAUUGAUGCCGAUCAAGAAUGGACAGUUUACUCUGUGUGUUGAUGCAGAUGUUUGUUCAUGGUUAUCUCUAUCAUUAUCAUCAUUAGUUGUUACCUGUUGAGAAAAAGGACACAUUUUUUUCUGGUCAAUUUUUGGUCAUUUUCUGUCUACUUUCUUGCCCUUGUUGAACCAACAAAUUACAUUAGACUUCGCAGAGAGAUAAAAAAUAAGGCCAAAAAAUUGUGAGCUCACAAUGACUUUCCAAAGAUUAUUACGAUUGCGUUUCUAUUGAACAAAAACAACAAACAAACAACUAAUACACAAAUACAAAAUGGAAAAAGAAAGGAAAAGAAUUGUGGUUAAAGAACAAGUUUUUCAUGGAAUAAUGGAAAGCAAAGAAGACAAGAGAAGAUUGUUCACUGAAGGAAGGCGCAUAAAGGAAAUGAAAAUGAACAUGAUUGGUGUUGAUUAACAUGAAGACAAGACUGAACGAGAUUGAUUGUGGCCUUGAAUGUUUUUAAUUAUGAUUGGCAGUUUCCUUUGCAUUUAUUUAUAAUUUUCAUCAACCUCGGUUAAACUGUUGUUGAGUGUAUAAGGCAAACCUUGUUGACAGUAUUUCAUAUUUCACCAGAUAAGUAACCUUAGCAAUUUUUGUCAUCGCCUUUUAAAUCAUAAUCAUUAUCAUCAUUAUUUCCUUACUUCACUCUUCAUCAUCAUCAUCCUUUCCAUGAAGAUGAAGGAGAAAAAAAAAUUAACCGAUUCAGCUUUGUAUAGAAGAUAUGAAAUCUUUUUUUUCUGCAAAAAGAUUACCAUUAAUCCGUUUACUUUUUUCUUCCUCCUUUUUCUUGCUGGUUUAUAAAACUUUAUUUAUAAUGUAUAUAUAUUUUGAUAAUAUAACAUUCAAGAUUUACUCGUAUCUCAACAAUUAAUGUUUACUUCUCGUUGAGGUUAACAACAAGAUUAACUGUUGAUGAUUCCUGUAUGUUUAUCCCUUUAAACAUAACAUUGAAAACUUCAUUUCAGGCCGAUCAAUUUUGACCAGUUUUAAGGAAACAUUGACUUGAUCCAAUUUCCUGAUGUUAACAAAGUUAACAUUUGUUUUUUUUCAGUUCAGAGUAUUUACAAAUUUCGUAUGAAAAAGAAAUGAAUGUGAAAAUUUUUAGCUUAAUGAUAAUCAAAGGAACCUAAUUUUUACUUCAGAUUUUUGCUUGAAAUUGUUCUUUGUUUUUUCUUUGUAUUUUUCAUUGUAAAUCUCAUUUGUUAUCGCUAAAUCACAAUGAAACAUCUGAAAGAGUUGAACAUUACUUUGAAAAUGAUAAACUUUUAUAGCUGAAAAGAAUCAGAACUUCUCUAUCUUUUUCAGAUCUUAACCAUUGAUCAUUCUUCAUGUUCAUCUCAAACUUUAUUUCAUCUUGUGAAGAAGAAAAAAAAUCUUGUAACAAUCAAUGAUAAUAAAUAACUUUUCCUCUUCUUUUUUUCAGCUUUUUUGAAAUGGCAAGAAAAGCCAAUGGAACAAAAUGGAUACAAAUCGAUGACUAUAAAGAGUUUGGAUGGUGAUUAUGAUAAUUGUCAUGAUUAUCUUGCACUACAAGAUAAAUGCAAGUGAAAGAUGAUUAACUAUUGACUGAAGUCAAAUGAAAUUAUGAACAUUGAACAACCACAACAACAGCAAGAGAAAACCAUUGAUAUUGAAGAAUAAUGAAAAGAAGGAGAAAAAAAGGAAAAAAAUGGAAAAGGUUCGAUUAUAAUCAAUUCAAUUGGAGAUUUAAAUCACGAUUUUGCAUUGUAACAUGGCACCAACUGUUCAGGAUCAUCUGUAAUAAUGUUAAAAAUGAAACACAAUUGGCCCAAGAAAUUGAAAGGAAAUACAAAAACAUUGAACAAAAACAGAACAAUUUUCAAGAGGAAAAUGAACAAGUUUUUGGUAACAAACAAGCCCGUUGGUCAUCAACAACCAUGUACGAUGUAUUGUGUCGCUUGGUGUCCACAUUGUGUUAUAGAUGAUGGGCACUUGUAUGGGAACACAAAAGGACUAAACAUAAAUAUACAAUUUUUAUCGCUGUUAUAAUUUUCAACAAUUGGUAAAGGAGCCAAUUCUUGAGGCUAAACGCAAUCGUCAACUAAACAAGCAACAAUCAAGUUGACAAAAAAAAAGAGCUAAUCUUCAAAUUGAAUUUACUUGGCCAAGAUUUGAUCUGGGAAUAGUGAAUAAGGAGAAACCUUGCAAGACAAAAUGUUGGGAGAAAA